rnacentral:rRNA from 1 species
GACCAGACUCCUACGGGAGGCAGCAGUCGGGAAUAUUGCACAAUGGAGGAAACUCUGAUGCAGUGACACCGCGUAUAGGAAGAAGGUUUUCGGAUUGUAAACUAUUUUAGACAGGGAAGAAAAAAGACAGUACCUGUAGAAUAAGCUCCGGCUAACUACGUGCCAGCAGCCGCGGUAAUACGUAGGGGGCAAGCGUUAUCCGGAUUUACUGGGUGUAAAGGGAGCGUAGGCGGUGAUGCAAGUCAGAAGUGAAAGCCCGCAGCUCAACUGCGGGACUGCUUUUGAAACUGUAUGACUAGAUUGCAGGAGAGGUAAGUGGAAUUCCUAGUGUAGCGGUGAAAUGCGUAGAUAUUAGGAGGAACACCAGUGGCGAAGGCGGCUUACUGGACUGUAAAUGACGCUGAGGCUCGAAAGCGUGGGGAGCAAACAGGAUUAGAUACCCGGGUA